rnacentral:ncRNA from 2 species
AAGUGUGUGAAGGAGUGGUUUUAUCUGAAGCAGUGGAAACAAGGAAACACUUGAUUUGGUAAAACUAUAAA